rnacentral:rRNA from 1 species
GACGAACGCUGGCGGCGCGCUUAACACAUGCAAGUCGAACGUGAAGCCGGGGCUUGCCCCGGUGGAAAGUGGCGAACGGGUGCGUAACACGUGAGCAACCUGCCCCGAAGACUGGGGUAACACCGGGAAACCGGUGCUAAUACCGGAUGCCCUCUUCUGAUCGCAUGGUCGGAUGAGGAAAUGGAUUCCGCUUCGGGAUGGGCUCGCGGCCUAUCAGCUUGUUGGUGAGGUAACGGCCCACCAAGGCGACGACGGGUAGCUGGUCUGAGAGGACGACCAGCCACACUGGGACUGAGACACGGCCCAGACUCCUACGGGAGGCAGCAGUGGGGAAUCUUGCUCAAUGGGCGAAAGCCUGAAGCAGCGACGCCGCGUGCGGGAUGAAGGCCCUCGGGUUGU